CUUCUCGCUCACCUCAGGAGGGGUGACCUCAAAAGCAGAAGUUCUCACGCUAGGCUGUGUCUGCGAAGGUGAUACCAUCCCGGUUGACAGAGGUUGCUCCGCUGCCUUGUUCGCCAUACGGUGAGUGUCAGACUUAGAGGGAGGUUGCAACUCCUGUCCGUAGGUCUGCUGGAAGGAAGGGAACAGAGAGUCGAACGUGACAAGACCUGAGGAUGUCAUGUCCUUGGCAGGAGACGAGUGGUAGCUCUCCGAAUGGUGAGGAUCUAGACUCUCUUCAUCACUCUCUUCAGAACUGAAAUUUUUGGGAAAAAUACUGUGACCAUAUUUGUUACAAUGUUCAACCACGAGUUAUAUUCCACUAUUACAAUUUAUAAACUGUGAAAGAAAGGCAAAUAAAAGUGUAUCAAAGAAAGUA